CGCGUAGGCGGUGCGGUAAGUCACCUGUGAAACCUCCGGGCUCAACUCGGAGCCUGCAGGCGAAACUGCCGUGCUGGAGUGUGGGAGGGGUGCGUGGAAUUCCCGGUGUAGCAGUGAAAUGCGUAGAGAUCGGGAGGAACACCUGUGGCGAAAGCGGCGCACUGGACCACAACUGACGCUGAGGCGCGAAAGCUAGGGGAGCAAACAGGAUUAGAUACCCUGGUAGUCCUAGCCCUAAACCAUGGAUGCUUGGUGUAGCGGGUACCCAAUCCCGCUGUGCCGCAGUUAACGCGAUAAGCAUCCCGCCUGGGGAGUACGGUCGCAAGGCUGAA
rnacentral:rRNA from 1 species